AAUGAAAAUGUAUGCACUCGCUCUGGAUAAGAGCGUCUGCUAAAUGACAUAAA
rfam:Salmo salar isolate Sally breed double haploid chromosome ssa05, whole genome shotgun sequence.